GAUGAACGCUGGCGGCGUGCCUAAUACAUGCGAGUCGAGCGAACAGACGAGAAGCUUGCUUCUCUGACGUUAGCGGCGGACGGGUGAGUAACACGUGGAUAACCUACCUAUAAGACUGGGAUAACUUCGGGAAACCGUAGCUAAUACCAGAUAAUAUUUUGAACCGCAUGGUUCAAUAGUGAAAGACGGUCUUGCUGUCACUUAUAGAUGGAUCCGCGCUGCAUUAGCUAGUUGGUAAGGUAACGGCUUACCAAGGCAACGAUGCAUAGCCGACCUGAGAGGGUGAUCGGCCACACUGGAACUGAGACACGGUCCAGACUCCUACGGGAGGCAGCAGUAGGGAAUCUUCCGCAAUGGGCGAAAGCCUGACGGAGCAACGCCGCGUGAGUGAUGAAGGUCUUCGGAUCGUAAAACUCUGUUAUUAGGGAAGAACAUAUGUGUAAGUAACUGUGCACAUCUUGACGGUACCUAAUCAGAAAGCCACGGCUAACUACGUG
rnacentral:rRNA from 1 species